rnacentral:lncRNA from 1 species
AUGAUAUCUUCUCAUCAAUUUGUCUACAAAAGGAUGUAACACAAUCAAACCUUUGGUCUAUGUAAGAUUGCAUCUCAUCUAUCCGCCCUUCAUUUUUCCUCUCUAAAAUCUCUACCAUCUGUAGUAAUUGCAUUCUCAAUUCCUGAGCGAACUCAUCUCUAGAUGGAUACAGAGAUGGAUAUGAUGUAGAUGGUCCCGGAUGAAA